GAGGUCCUAGUAAACUAAUUAUAUAGCCCUGUCAGAGCUAAGUAACAGGUCAAAACCCCGUGGACUUUA
rnacentral:tRNA from 1 species